GAAGUUGUUGAUGCUAUCAGGCUUUCUCAGUGCAUGCUGUGAUUUCGAGGGAACAGGAAAGAUGCUAUCUAACCCUUAGAACUCAAGGCCCUUGAAGAUUCUUGAGAGCUACUGUAAUUUUUCAGUUUGAUCAAGAUGCAGGAACUUUGUCAGGUAUACCUAAGCAAGCUUGUAAUGAUAAUAGAACUUCAGUGAGUGGAUCUUUUUCUCUACAUUUUGACCCAUUCUAGAUAAGAUUGACUUGAAUGAGUUCUCCAUCCUAUAAAGUGCUAAUCUAGCUUUUGCCUAUGGAGUCUAUCAUUGCUUGAAAGAGACUACAGAACCAGAAAACUACUUUAUAUGUGAAAGUUGGUCUACACCUUUCUCCUGCUACACAACUAUGUCCCAAAGAUAGACCUGAAAACAGUUGGCAUGCAUUCUUUCCUUCCUCCAGAAAAGCUAUCUAAUAAUUAUCAGGAGCCUGGCAAUGAGUGAAGAGACUGUAAAUUGUUAUUUGUUUAAAAAUGCUUUUGUUUGUUCACCCAAGACUGCUCUAACAACAGCAGCAACAAUAACAAUUCAAUUGUCAAUGAGGACGGACAAAUAGUGCAGAGAAGCCCAGAUAAAAUACAAAAUCUAGAUGAUGGUGAAUCAUUUGUGUGUUUUUUUAAAACAUCUUUCCAUGUGAAGCGAACUCAUGUAUUUUAUAAUAUUGCUAGGUGAGAAAUAUGGACUCUUUCCUUGUGUGUAUCAUCUUGUUCUACGCUCCUUCUCAUACACUGUUCAGUGUCCCUGAGGGUGUCCAUCACAGAAAUAUUGAUAUUCUUCCAGGAAAGGCCCUACAGUGUGGAAAUGGGAUAUCUGACAGCAUUAACAAGCUUCAGCAGCUGCUUACAAAGAAUCAGUUAUUAUGCAUCUUGGGACAUUAACUAAUGUGUUCAGCAUUGCAAUUUGUUAUUUGUUCUAAUAAAAGAGUGAAUGAAAGUGUACUUUUUAAAAAUAAAUUUUAUUCUUAAUUUAUGGGGAAAGCAUGCAUUUCUAUAACAGUAUGAUAAAAAAGAUGAUUAUACAUGAAAAUUCAAAUUUCUA